CCUACGGGUGGCAGCAGUGAGGAAUAUUGGUCAAUGGACGAGAGUCUGAACCAGCCAAGUAGCGUGAAGGAUGACUGCCCUAUGGGUUGUAAACUUCUUUUAUAAAGGAAUAAAACGAGGCACGUGUGCCUUUUUGCAUGUACUUUAUGAAUAAGGAUCGGCGAACUCCGUGCCAGCAGCCGCGGUAAUACGGAGGAUCCGAGCGUUAUCCGGAUGUAUUGGGUUUAAAGGGAGCGUAGAUGGGUUGUUAAGUCAGUUGUGAAAGUUUGCGGCUCAACCGUAAAAUUGCAAUUGAUACUGGCAGUCUUGAGUACAGUUGAGGUAGGAGGAAUUCGUGGUGUAGCGGUGAAAGGCUUAGAUAUCACGAAGAACCCCGAUUGCGAAGGCAGCUUACUAAACUGUGACUGACAUUGAUGCUCGAAAGUGUGGGUAUCAAACAGGAUUAGAUACCCGGGUAGCC
rnacentral:rRNA from 1 species